CACGUAGGCACCAAGCGUUGUCCGGAUUUAUUGGGCGUAAAGAGCUCGUAGGCGGUUCAGUAAGUCGGGUGUGAAAACUUUGGGCUUAACCCAAAGCGUGCAUCCGAUACUGCUGUGACUUGAGUUCGGUAGGGGAGUGGGGAAUUCCUAGUGUAGCGGUGAAAUGCGCAGAUAUUAGGAGGAACACCGGUGGCGAAGGCGCCACUCUGGGCCGAAACUGACGCUGAGAAGCGAAAGCAUGGGUAGCAAACAGG
rnacentral:rRNA from 1 species